ACGCUCGACACCUACGGGGGGCAGCAGUGGGGAAUAUUGCACAAUGGGGGAAACCCUGAUGCAGCGACGCCGCGUGAGCGAAGAAGUAUUUCGGUAUGUAAAGCUCUAUCAGCAGGGAAGAAAGUGACGGUACCUGACUAAGAAGCACCGGCUAAAUACGUGCCAGCAGCCGUGGUAAUCUGAGCGGGCUGGCAAGGC
rnacentral:rRNA from 1 species